rnacentral:sRNA from 1 species
UGACCGUUACCAGCUGCGUAAGGGAUGG